AUUAUUUCUGGCUCUUUUUAAAUAGGUAAGUUUUCUAUUUAUUUAGAGAGGUAACAGGGAUGAUUAGAACUCUACUAUAGUGCAAAUAAUGUUCGUUUUGAACUCCUUGCGCUACAGUAAAACCUGGAAGUAUAUAUACAAUGCCAGCUGUCAUAGUUACUCUGACCUUACGGCCUCUCUACUAUAGAGUAUAUUAAUUUUCACAGCUUUUAUUGUAAAUUAUUGAGAAAGGUUGAAAUGUUAUCGAGUCUCAAGGUGAAUAAAUAAAGUCAAUACUAUAAUAUA
rnacentral:snRNA from 1 species